rnacentral:rRNA from 1 species
CCUACGGGUGGCAGCAGUAGGGAAUAUUGCUCAAUGGGGGAAACUCUGAAGCAGCAACGCCGCGUGGAGGAUGAAGGUUUUAGGAUUGUAAACUCCUUUUGUGAGAGAAGAUAAUGACGGUAUCUCACGAAUAAGCACCGGCUAAAUCCGUGCCAGCAGCCACGGGACUACGGAGGGUGCAAGCGUUACUCGGAAUCACUGUGCGUAAAGCGUGCGCCGGCGGGCUUUUAAGUCAGAUGUGAAAUCCUGUAGCUUAACUACAGAACUGCAUUUGAAACUAUGAGUCUAGAGUGUGGGAGAGGUAGGUGGAAGUCUUGGUGUAGGGGUAAAAACCGUAGAUAUCAAGAGGAAUACUCAUUGCGAAGGCGACCUAAUGGAACAUUACUGACGCUCAUGCACGAAAGCGUGGGGAGCAAACAGGAUUAGAUAACCUUGUAGUC